rnacentral:rRNA from 1 species
UACGUAGGGGGCUAGCGUUGUCCGGAUUUAUUGGGCGUAAAGGGUGCGUAGGCGGCGCGGUAAGUCGGGUGUGAAAUCUCGGGGCUUAACUCCGAAACUGCAUUCGAUACUGCCGUGCUUGAGGACUGGAGAGGAGACUGGAAUUUACGGUGUAGCGGUGAAAUGCGUAGAUAUCGUAAGGAAGACCAGUGGCGAAGGCGGGGUCUCUGGACAGUUCCUGACGCUGAGGCACGAAGGCCAGGGGAGCAAACGGG